rnacentral:rRNA from 1 species
UACGUAGGGGGCAAGCGUUGUCCGGAUUUAUUGGGCGUAAAGAGCGUGUAGGCGGUUUGGUAGGUCCGCUGUGAAAACUCGAGGCUCAACCUCGAGACGCCGGUGGAAACCAUCAGACUAGAGUCCGGAAGAGGAGAGUGGAAUUCCUGGUGUAGCGGUGAAAUGCGCAGAUAUCAGGAAGAACACCCGUGGCUAAGGCAGCUCUCUAGUACGGUACUGACGCUGAGACGCGAAAGCGUGGGGAGCGAACAGG